AUGGGUCGGCCAAGCACGAGCAACAACGACUUCAACUGGGAGGAGCUGGGCAUCGAGAGCCAUGCUUUGCAAGACCUCAACUCUGCCAUCACCGAGGAGGAGGUUUGGGAGGCUAUAAAGGAGAUGCCAAAUGAUAAGGCGCCGGGUCCGGAUGAAUUCACGGGGAUGUUCUUCAAGAAGUGUUGGGGAAUCAUCAAGCAUUCGAUCAUGAGGGUCAUCCAAUGCUUCGAUUCAUUGCACACCUCCAACCUUCAGUGGCUAAAUUCUGCCAAUGUGGUUCUACUGCCGAAAAAGGAUGGCGCGGAAGACAUCUCUGAUUAUAGACCCAUUAGUCUCAUCCACGCCGUUGCUAAAAUCAUUGCCAAGAUUCUCUCACUUCGACUUGCCCCCACAUGGAUGACCUUGUUUCCAACGCCCAGAGUGCAUUCAUCAAAAGGCGAAGUAUCCACGACAACUUCAUGUAUGUUCAAAAUUUCGCCCGACGUCUACACAAAUGCAAAACGCCCGCUCUCCUCUUCAAGCCUGAUAUAA
rnacentral:rRNA from 1 species